GCCUGCCUACUCCACGCGACUGCGAUAGGUUGGCCCCGUACAUCAAAGGAGGAAUAUAGUAACCCCGCCGGACUCGCGGUGCGGCAGUGUGGAGACCUGUCGUAAUGUGGUGCCGCCACUUCAUGGGCGGCCACGAGAUCCCUGGCGCGUAGGCCCAUGGAUCGGAGUCAUGUCGUAUGGCA
rnacentral:ncRNA from 1 species